CCGAUGUCAACGCGACCGCUUCGCGCUCUGGCAUUGACUGGCGUCGUCGUCGUCGUCGCAGUCGUCGUCGUAGCCGCCGUAGCUGCUCAUUCUCGCUGAAUAGUUACAGAGUAUUCGUAUUCAUAUUCGCCAGCGCGCGUCGAUCAGCUGACUGAGUGACUGUCCAUCGACGAUUGCAUAGGAUUCGAUUUGACAUAGCAUAUGUAGUAUAGCUCAUCCAAACCCUUAUGAUUUCCCUACUACAGCUGGAAGAUUUGCCUUCCGCCGCAGCGAGAAGAGAGUGAAAAUGCGGGAGCCAGUUGCGAUUGCGAUUCGAAACGCUUAUCUUAAACUAGCUCUUUAUGGGCCGAAAUAAAAAUCUGAACGCGUGA